GAUGAACGCUGGCUGCGUGCCUAAUACAUGCAAGUCGAGCGAACGGACGAGAAGCUUGCUUCUCUGAUGUUAGCGGCGGACGGGUGAGUAACACGUGGAUAACCUACCUAUAAGACUGGGAUAACUUCGGGAAACCGGAGCUAAUACCGGAUGAUAUUUUGAACCGCAUGGUUCAAAAGUGAAAGACGGUCUUGCUGUCACUUAUAGAUGGAUCCGCGCUGCAUUAGCUAGUUGGUAAGGUAACGGCUUACCAAGGCAACGAUGCAUAGCCGACCUGAGAGGGUGAUCGGCCACACUGGAACUGAGACACGGUCCAGACUCCUACGGGAGGCAGCAGUAGGGAAUCUUCCGCAAUGGGCGAAAGCCUGACGGAGCAACGCCGCGUGAGUGAUGAAGGUCUUCGGAUCGUAAAACUCUGUUAUUAGGGAAGAACAUAUGUGUAAGUAACUGUGCACAUCUUGACGGUACCUAAUCAGAAAGCCACGGCUAACUACGUG
rnacentral:rRNA from 1 species